AGGAAUAUUGGUCAAUGGACGCAAGUCUGAACCAGCCAUGCCGCGUGCAGGAAGACGGCUCUAUGAGUUGUAAACUGCUUUUGUACGAGGGUAAACUCACCUACGUGUAGGUGACUGAAAGUAUCGUACGAAUAAGGAUCGGCUAACUCCGUGCCAGCAGCCGCGGUAAUACGGAGGAUUCAAGCGUUAUCCGGAUUUAUUGGGUUUAAAGGGUGCGUAGGCGGUUUGAUAAGUUAGAGGUGAAAUCCCGGGGCUUAACUCCGGAACUGCCUCUAAUACUGUUAGACUAGAGAGUAGUUGCGGUAGGCGGAAUGUAUGGUGUAGCGGUGAAAUGCUUAGAGAUCAUACAGAACACCGAUUGCGAAGGCAGCUUACCAAACUAUAUCUGACGUUGAGGCACGAAAGCGUGGGGAGCAAACAGGAUUAGAUACCCUGGUAGUCCACGCAGUAAACGAUGAUAACUCGUUGUCGGCGAUACACAGUCGGUGACUAAGCGAAAGCGAUAAGUUAUCCACCUGGGGAGUACGUUCGCAAGAAUGAAACUCAAAGGAAUUGACGGGGGCCCGCACAAGCGGAGGAACAUGUGGUUUAAUUCGAUGAUACGCGAGGAACCUUACCCGGGCUUGAAAGUUACUGACGAUUCUGGAAACAGGAUUUCCCUUUGGGGCAGGAAACUAGGUGCUGCAUGGUUGUCGUCAGCUCGUGCCGUGAGGUGUCGGGUUAAGUCCCAUAACGAGCGCAACCCCUACCGUUAGUUGCCAUCAGGUCAAGCUGGGCACUCUGGCGGGACUGCCGGUGUAAGCCGAGAGGAAGGUGGGGAUGACGUCAAAUCAGCACGGCCCUUACGUCCGGGGCUACACACGUGUUACAAUGGUAGGUACAGAGGGUCGCUACUCCGUGAGGAGAUGCCAAUCUCGAAAGCCUAUCUCAGUUCGGAUUGGAGGCUGAAACCCGCCUCCAUGAAGUUGGAUUCGCUAGUAAUCGCGCAUCAGCCAUGGCGCGGUGAAUACGUUCCCG
rnacentral:rRNA from 1 species